ensembl:lncRNA
CAGAAGGAACACACACACACACACACACACACACACACACACACACACACACACGCACGAGCGCGCGCGCCCCCACACCAGAGUUGAGUGCCUCUCUGCACGUGAUCCUGCUUGUCUGUGUACCACACGAGUCCCACUGUCCUCUGUCCCUAGCUCGCCCCACCCACAGGGAGAGGAAUCUGUUUGCUCCUCCCCACCUUUCUUCAGGCCCCGGGAGACCAUCGCUCCAACCGUUGCCUCUGACCUAGAUUCCCUGCACUAAUUACAAGCCUAACAGGGAGCUAACAAACACCCAACUUAGCACAGCUGAGACCCUCGAGGUCAAUUAGUGCAUCCCGGCUCCACUCCGGAAUCGAGAGAUGGAGCCAAAAAGUCGAUUGGCCUCGGCCCAGCCCCACUGCAACCUAGAGACUGGGAGCGGGGAUGGGGAGAAGAAUGCAGAAAUUAGCGGGGCCGGCUUAAAAAUGGGGAUCCUGGAGACUUAACCAGUGUGGGGAGCAAUGUGUUCAGGAUGGGGAGCAACACAGAGUCCCCACUCUUCCUAACUGAUUAGAGGCAUAGAGGUUGAUGCAGCUGCAGAAGUGAUAAACACGAGGCAGGUUUCAUAGAGACUUCAUAUGAGCACCGGUAACAGAAAAGGAAGCAGAGCCGGAACUCUGUCCUCUGGGAUCUGUGUCCUCGCCUCUGGCGAAAUCCCUCCUCUUCUUGGCUUCCAGCUUUGGACAGUUGAGAUAUCAACACCAUGACAGCACAGUCCUUUCCUGCCAGGUGGCACAGUGAGGUGCUAGAAGAGCUCUCGUCCUGUCCUGGGUGUGUGGACAGUGUCCUACCCCAUUCUGAUGCUCGUGGCUCUGUGGGGGUCGGAGGGGAAGGAGAGGGCCGGUGGCAUGCUUUAAGUACAGGUGAGGGAAUGCCUUACAGCCGCCCCAGGAGUCAAAUCCUCAUCACCCUUCGCAUCCACCAGCUCUAGCUGCAGAGGGCAGUUCUGCCAGCACAGCCUCAUGCACUCCAGGCUUACACCGUAACCAGGAGGAUUCCCAUUAACGCCAUGUCUAGAUGUUGAUGUCUCCCAAGUGUAUUCCUCCAGCCCGAGCUCCCACCCCCAAGAUCAAGGCCCUUACAGCCAAGUACCCAUCUGACAUCUCUGCCUGCGAGGUCACUAAUGGGCAUCUUCAACUUACUGUGGUAGGUCAUUAAAUAACGGUUCUCAAUCAGCUCGCCUCACACACUUCUUCAAUGUCGGUUUGUGGUUCCUUCUAUCUGACGGGCAUUGUUGUUUCUCCAACAGCGGCUUGAAUCUGAGUUUGUGUUGAUUGAUAAAUAGAACUUGCCACUGUGUAAGUUCCAGAGCUUAAGGAUCCUGUAGUUUCCACUCUGUCCUUAAAAUUCAGCUGCAUAUAAGAAGCCUGGGCUAGCAUCCUUGAUGUGAGACAAUGUAGUUUAGAACUGAAAACCACGUGGAUCCAUCCCAAAUCCAAGCAUCCAGCAAAACAUAGCCGAAGACGUCCUAACUGGCAGGACCAGAAAACCAGCUACCUGGUCACUCCCCAGAAUUUGGAGAAAUUAAAGAGCUCUCCCCUGCGGCCCCAUACCAGGGAUCAAACUCAGGACCUUGCGCUUGUCAGGCAGGUGAGGUGCCACUGAGCUACAUCUGCAACUGGAGGAAUUAAUAAACCAUUGUUGCCUUAAGUCACUAAGUUCUGCGGUGGUUUGUCACUCAGCAGUGCAUACUAAAGCAUAAAUGGGUUCUUGGAAAGGUGAUGCUGCCAUAACUAAAGCUUGAAACACUCAGUGUUAACAACAGGACCAGGAGCACACAGAGGCUGCCAGGCAGCAGUUAGCAGAGGAAGCUGCUAUUGGAGAUGGGAGGGAGGUUCCCUAUGGUUAUACAUUGGUGGAAUAAUUUACAAAACGGUAACUUGGAAGACAGAAAAUAUAUACCUAAUAAACUUGUUGGAACUUCUCUGUUUGUAAACAAAAUUUGAAGGAAAACUAGUAGCCAGGACAGUCUGCAGUUAAAAAAAAAAAUAGUAAUGUAAGAGUCUGAUCUCAGAGGGUACAACCCUGACUAGCAAAAGAUUGGG